CCUACGGGGGGCAGCAGUGGGGAAUAUUGCACAAUGGGCGCAAGCCUGAUGCAGCGACGCCGCGUGGGGGAUGACGGCCUUCGGGUUGUAAACUCCUUUCGCUAGGGACGAAGCUUUUUGUGACGGUACCUAGAUAAGAAGCACCGGCUAACUACGUGCCAGCAGCCGCGGUAAUACGUAGGGUGCGAGCGUUGUCCGGAAUUACUGGGCGUAAAGGGCUCGUAGGUGGUUUGUCGCGUCGUCUGUGAAAUUCCGGGGCUUAACUCCGGGCGUGCAGGCGAUACGGGCAUAACUUGAGUACUGUAGGGGUAACUGGAAUUCCUGGUGUAGCGGUGAAAUGCGCAGAUAUCAGGAGGAACACCGAUGGCGAAGGCAGGUUACUGGGCAGUUACUGACGCUGAGGAGCGAAAGCAUGGGUAGCGAACAGGAUU
rnacentral:rRNA from 1 species